rnacentral:rRNA from 1 species
UAACAAGGAUUCCCCUAGUAACUGCGAGUGAAGCGGGAAGAGCUCAAAUUUAAAAUCUGGCAGUCUCCUGGCUGUCCGAGUUGUAAUCUGGAGAAGCGUUUUCUGUGUUAGACCGUGUACAAGUCUCCUGGAACGGAGCGUCAUAGAGGGUGAGAAUCCCGUCCAUGACACGGACUACUAAUACUUUGUGAUACGCUCUCGAAGAGUCGAGUUGUUUGGGAAUGCAGCUCAAAAUGGGUGGUAAAUUCCAUCUAAAGCUAAAUACAGGCGAGAGACCGAUAGCGAACAAGUACCGUGAGGGAAAGAUGAAAAGCACUUUGGAAAGAGAGUUAAACAGUACGUGAAAUUGUUGAAAGGGAAACGCUUGAAGUCAGUCGCGUUGUGCAGAACUCAGCCUUGCCUCGGCUUGGUGUACUUUCUGCACAACGGGUCAACAUCAAUUUUGGCCCAUGGAGAAAGGUGGGGGGAAUGUAGCGCUGUUUCGGCAGCGUGUUAUAGCCCUCCUCUGUAUACAUGGGCUGGGAUUGAGGAACGCAGCACGCCCUUGUGGCCGGGGGUUCGCCCCACGUACCGUGCUUAGGAUGUUGGCAGAAUGGCUUUAAGCGACCCGUCUUGAAACACNGACCAAGGAGUCUAACAUGCUUGCGAGUGUUCGGGUGGAAAACCCUUGUGCGGAAUGAAAGUGAAAGUUGGGAACCUCCGCGAGGGGGUGCACCGACGCCCGGCCC